AAGUCGAACGGUAACAGGAAGCAGCUUGCUGCUUCGCUGACGAGUGGCGGACGGGUGAGUAAUGUCUGGGAAACUGCCUGAUGGAGGGGGAUAACUACUGGAAACGGUGGCUAAUACCGCAUAACGUCGCAAGACCAAAGAGGGGGACCUUCGGGCCUCUUGCCAUCAGAUGUGCCCAGAUGGGAUUAGCUAGUUGGUGAGGUAACGGCUCACCAAGGCGACGAUCCCUAGCUGGUCUGAGAGGAUGACCAGCCACACUGGAACUGAGACACGGUCCAGACUCCUACGGGAGGCAGCAGUGGGGAAUAUUGCACAAUGGGCGCAAGCCUGAUGCAGCCAUGCCGCGUGUAUGAAGAAGGCCUUCGGGUUGCCCAGUACUUUCAGCGGGGA
rnacentral:rRNA from 1 species